UACGUAGGAGGCAAGCGUUGUCCGGAAUUACUGGGCGUAAAGCGCACGCAGGCGGUCUCUUAAGUUUGGAGUGACAGUUGGUGGCUUAACUGCCAAAGUGCUUCGAAAACUGAGAGACUUGAGGGCUUCAGAGGGACACGGAAUUCCGGGUGGAGUGGUGAAAUGCGUAGAGAUCCGGAGGAACACCAAAGGCGAAGGCAGUGUCCUGGGGAGUACCUGACGCUCAGGUGCGAAAGCGUGGGGAGCAAACAGG
rnacentral:rRNA from 1 species